rnacentral:rRNA from 1 species
GACGAAGGGGGCUAGCGUUGUUCGGAAUUACUGGGCGUAAAGGGCGCGUAGGCGGCAAUUCAAGUCAUCUGUGAAAUCUCCGGGCUUAACUCGGAACGGUCAGAUGAUACUGCUUUGCUAGAGUGCGGAAGGGGCAAUCGGAAUUCCCGGUGUAGCGGUGAAAUGCGCAGAUAUCGGGAGGAACACCAAUGGCGAAGGCAGCUUGCUGGGACGGUACUGACGCUGAGACGCGAAAGCGUGGGAAGCAAACAGG